rnacentral:rRNA from 1 species
GCGAACGGGUGAGUAACACGUGGGCAAUCUGCCCUUCACUCUGGGACAAGCCCUGGAAACGGGGUCUAAUACCGGAUAACACUCCUGCCUGCAUGGGUGGGGGUUAAAAGCUCCGGCGGUGAAGGAUGAGCCCGCGGCCUAUCAGCUUGUUGGUGGGGUAAUGGCCCACCAAGGCGACGACGGGUAGCCGGCCUGAGAGGGCGACCGGCCAAACUGGGACUGAGACACGGCCCAGACUCCUACGGGAGGCAGCAGUGGGGAAUAUUGCACAAUGGGCGAAAGCCUGAUGCAGCGACGCCGCGUGAGGGAUGACGGCCUUCGGGUUGUAAACCUCUUUCAGCAGGGAAGAAGCGAAAGUGACGGUACCUGCAGAAGAAGCGCCGGCUAACUACGUGCCAGCAGCCGCGGUAAUACGUAGGGCGCAAGCGUUGUCCGGAAUUAUUGGGCGUAAAGAGCUCGUAGGCGGCUUGUCACGUCGGAUGUGAAAGCCCGAGGCUUAACCUCGGGUCUGCAUUCGAUACGGGCUAGCUAGAGUGUGGUAGGGGAGAUCGGAAUUCCUGGUGUAGCGGUGAAAUGCGCAGAUAUCAGGAGGAACACCGGUGGCGAAGGCGGAUCUCUGGGCCAUUACUGACGCUGAGGAGCGAAAGCGUG